CAGCCGUAAACUAUGCGCGUUAGGUGUAUCGGUGACCACGAGUUACCGAGGUGCCGAAGGGAAACCGUGAAACGUGCCGCCUGGGAAGUACGGUCGCAAGGCUGAAACUUAAAGGAAUUGGCGGGGGAGCACCACAACAGGUGGAGCCUGCGGUUUAAAUUGGACUCAACGCCGGGAAGCUCACCGGAUAGGACAGCAGAAUGAUUGCCGGGCUGAAGACCCUGCAUGACUAGCUGAGAGGAGGUGCAUGGCGUCAGUGACUGU
rnacentral:rRNA from 1 species